CAGGAAUGUGACCUCUGUAACUUCACUUCAGCCUCUGGUUGGCUGCUUUCGGCAACCGAUCAGACUGAUUGCGGGGUACCACUUCAUUUACAUGAAGUGAGCAUGAAGUGGCCAAUGGGAAACUUAGGGGGAUGUAUUUCGACCCGAGAAGAUUCUGUAUCACGCCAUUGAGCUGCUGCUAGGGCCUGCUCCCACACUGUGGAGUGUACUUUCAUUUUCAAUAAAUCCCCGCUUUCAUUCUUUUGUUGCUUCAUUCUUACUUUGCUUUGCUGGGCGUUUUGUUCAAAUCUUUGUUUAAAAUGCUAAGAACCUGGACAGCUUGUAGUCACGACCCUCUAACAGUGACAACACCUCCUGCUAUUUGCUACUCACCACUCAUAUUUCAUACUUCUAUUCCGAUCUUUUGUCACCCUUUUGGCCUAAUGUCCUGAUCAUUCAGGGCUCAAACUCUUACAGAGAGUCUAAUCCUUCAUCUCCUUGGCCUGGAUUCAUGAGCCCACAACCGGACUGCUCAGAUUUUGUGCUCACAUUGAGAUUAUCACCACAAAAAUGAUGAAUAUUCCUCAAACCUACCAACAUUGAAGAUAACUCCACUUUAGGCUCAUGAGGAAGAGGAUUUAUUGAUUGAAGGUAGAAUCGCUUCCAACUGUGGGCCCAUGUUCAGUCCAGCAACCAGAUCAACACACUGUCCAAGCUCAUUAACUUUGGAGAGGCUACCCAGAGUUCCUGAAGAGUUCAUCUGAAAGUAAGUAGGGAAGAUAUUUUCUCUCUGACUUUUCAGCUGUUUUCAAUAUUUAUGUACUGUGGUUAAACUGCCUGAGCCAUUCAAGAAGCUUUUGAUUGUAUCUUUGUUGGAUGUUAAAGCUGUGAGUCUUGAUUGCAAAUGCCUAGAAAAAUGCUAGAUUGCUAGUAAAUAAGCCUGGUAGUAACAGCCUCUCCCUGGUAUUUACUAUAAACAAUGUACAAAUGAGUCAGUGAUUAAUUUUUCUCUUGGCCAUGGGCCAGGACUGAAAUGUAAUAGAACAUAAUUUUCAUAAUAUGUGGCAGCUGAAAAAACUUUCAGUUAAAAUUGGUUCAAUUUUAUCUGGCUUCAAAGACUGUCCCUGAGAGCAUCUCGGAUUCACCUGCAUGAUUCUUUAAAACGGCAACUUUAUGCAAGUGACUAUUUAGCUCUACAGACUGAAGGAGUUGCCAUGUUGCAUUGCAAAGCAUGUUAAAUGGGGGAGGUGGGUUUCCAGCUAUGAAUGUCAUCAGAAGAGAGGUAUUUUUCUAAAACAUAUAAGUUGCUGAAAGACAUUUAGAAAUACCAGUUUACUGGGUUGGCUUUACUAGCCAAUUUAAAAUAAAAACAACCUGAAGUCAAAGUAAUUCUAAUGAGCAUAUGGUGCAUGGGUCCCAGGUAAAGGGAUGUGUAAAUAAAAGUCAAAGUUACAUUAACUAAGUCUUGGUUACACUAAUCCAAACAACUUUUCCUUUUAGUGUAGAUGUGGGCUGCCACAGGCAAAUAUAUGCACUUAUACGGCAUAUAUUGCUAAAAUGUUAAAUUAGAUUUUUAUUUUUACUGUAGCAUAGGAUGUAUAACAGUGAUCUUCAUUUGAUUUACAUCAGGAAUCUUUUAUUACAAAAUAAAUUGUAUCAAUAUUUUAGAAGUGGAAAAUGUCAUAGUGAUUCUCCAAUUCCAUUCUAAGACUGAGGAAUGUUUCUAGAAAGAUCUGCGAGAUGACGCUAAACUGACUGUGUUCUGUUACAUUCUUUCUCAUAGUGGCCAGACUUAUAUUCUGGCUUCAAGAUACUUUUAUUUACUAGUCACUGAAUUUACAUCUCUUCAUAUUUCCCACUACACCCAACCAAAUUUUUGUAUCCUUCUUGCCCCCAGGACUACCUGGAAGCCAUUAUUGCAGGUGCUGAUUAGGAAAUGUCCCACAGGCUUUCCCAGGAUCGGCAUUCAGUUAUCUCCCAUACUCCUUCACUUUUUUCUAAUUCUAGCUUCAUUAAUUAUUCAUAAUCUCCUUGCAACUUUCACCUCUUGUCUAUCUAUUGACAUAUCAUCCUGCUUAAAAAAUAUGCUCUUCUCUUAAUGUGUUACCUUCCAUUCACCAAUAAAUUAACACGAGAAUUGUUAGUAUCGUUCACAUUCUACUCUGACAAUCUGAGUCUACUUCCAUAGUCAAGAUUGUCAGAGUAGACUAUGAAUGAUAUUGUUGAAAUUUUUUUUCUGGAAAAAUAAUUUUACCAAUAAUGGGCUAAUAUCAAAGGGAGAAGCAUCAUAAAUGAGUAGUUAGGGCAUGAGCUCUGCGUCUGCCUGUACUUGACCUGUCUCACUUUUUGCAGUAUCUCGAACAAGUUUCUAUGUGCUGCAUUUCCUCACCUGUAAAAUGAAAAGCAUAAUAGCACACAUCUCAUAGGGUGAUUCUGAGGCUUGAAUAAAACAAUACUUGUAAAAUACUAACAAAGCAUUCAGUACAUAGGAAGCAUGAUAAAGUGUAUGUUAAAUAAAAUACAUUUAAUACUUCUUAUUUCCUCUAUUUUCCUCUCCAUCAACCUUUUCGCAGCAUUUAAUAUUAUUGAUUACCACUUUAGAAAACUUUUAUGCUUGGUGAAAUUUUGCAGCCUGACAAGUGGACUGGUGGAAACCACAGAAGAUCCAGAGUAUUAGGUACAUUUGGUGGCCAACUAGUGUUUAAUUGAAAUGUCUGAUUUGGGGACUCAACCUAAGUAGAGUGACAUGUAAAGUGAGACUUGGAUCUGUAAGUGUAGAACAUGGAAUUUUGAGACUUUAGAGACCAUUAUGAGAAUAGAUUCUGUGGAAAUAAACAAAUGGUAGUUUAGGUGAACAGAAAAUGAAUCAUGGUUGAAGAGAUCUUUGGCUGUGAAGCUCUUACUCUAGAGUGGAUUUUAGCCCCAGACUAUAGCCGGUGAUGAAGGCAAGAAAGAGAACUGUGGGCCAGGUGCCCUUGGGGCACGCCUGAAAGUUAGAUGGCAAUGGGAAAGGAAGAGCAGCUACUGAGUUAUACUUUUCAAUCCUUUCAGAGCCAAUGUUUCCUGGAUGAUUUAAAGUUCUCUAUUUUGUCCCAUUGUACCUGCCUUUUGGCAACUGAAAUUUUUAUUAUUUACAACUCUCACUGCAAACUAGGCAAAAUUAAUAAAUAUUAAAUUAGCCUUCAUUUCUAUUUUUAAAUGAGUCAUUAUUGUAAAAGAAUCAUGUGAGAAAAUAAAGGGAAAUAUAUAUAUGAAAGUAUCAUUAAAACAACACAUUUAAAUGAUCUGUCAAUUUUAAUAGCCAUUGCUAUCUUAGAGUUGGCUGUUCUUUAUUCUCAUAAUGUCCCAGCAUGACAUGUUGUGAUUACUAAUUCUACUUUUGGAGACAACCAGAAAAAUGAAGAAGUCUGAAUUAGGUCCAGGGGACCCACAGCUGAAUCAGCAUGAGAACUAACAGUUUCUAACUCCCAUCCGAAACCUUACAUCUUCUAAAUCAUAAUAGCGCCCAAGGGAAAAUAAUUGUGAACAGGUUCUAGAGAUUGAGAUUGUCUUCCAAAAUGGAAAUGAUCUUUGGUUUUUUUUUUGAAAAAAAUUCAACACAAUUUUAUUUUGGUCUUUACAGUGAUGUUUAUGUAUUUACAGUUCAUCUGCUGCUGAAACAGCAGUAGAAUAGUCUUUGAAGUGAUGGGUAUGUGUAUACUGGCAGAGUUGAAGAUAAACAAUGCCAAAAGACUUCUAAAAAGAUUAAACUGUUAACCAUAAAUACACGGUUUCAGUUGAGAAGAUUUAUUUGUUGCUGACCAUAUUAGCCAUUGUAGUUAACAUUGGUUCUGGGAAAGUCAUACUUUGGUAAUGAGCCAGUAGGCUGUACUUGUAGAGCUACAGUUGAAUUUAAAGGAUGGAUGCAGUGACAUUGCAGAUUUUCUCUACAUCAAACAGUUAAUGAAGUUACAAAAUGUUCUGCUGGCUCCUUUCCUUUAAGCUUCUUUUUGGCACUUCUAAGAGUUUCAACUCUCAGAUGCAUGGUCUUCCAGCAUUCUAUCAGUUUCCCUGUCUUGGUUCAUGCACUAAAAUGUGGUGCUCAUAAGGCAUGGUCCUUAUGGACGUGAUUAUGUUUGUUUGAGAACUCCUCAAGCGGCCACUUGAGAUAAAAGAUAAUGGAACUAGGGAUGGUAGUGGAAUUGGUGUGGUGUCAUGAGGUAAUUGGCAGGUACAAAUGGCCUAUCAUGUGGCUGGGUACUGAUCUAAGUCCCUGGUCUAUUUCAAGCCCAACUGGAUGUAUUGCAAUUCCAUCCUGGAACUAAACACCUGGAGUUGGUGGUACGGGCUCCAUGGGUUAAAAGCAUGGUCCCCAACAAGGCUGUUCUUACUUCAGACACCAGCAGUAAGACACCCCCCAGGGUGGGGGGGUCCCCAGACCACCUGCACUUCUGAAAGAAUCACUAUAAAUUUUGGUGUUUUCAUGAGCCCUCAGUUCAAUCAUUUGCUAAAUUGACUAACAAAACUCAAGAAAGUACUACAAUUAGAAUUAUAGUUUCAUUAUAAAGAAUACAAGUCAGGAGUGCUAGCUAAAUAAGAGACACAUAGAAUGAUGUCUGAAAUGGAAUGCAAAUUUUCUGUCUCCAGCCCCAUUCCACUCCAUUGGAGUCAGGUGGCUGAAAGCUCCAAUCUAUUAUGUGGUUAGUCUUUCAAGGUGACUGUCCCCAUCCUAAAGCUACCUAGAGGCCUACCACGAGUCCCCUCAUUAGGAUAAUGAAGAUAAUUACUCAUUAGGAUAAUCACUGUGAACAUACUGAGAGUUUUUAGAAUCUGUCCCAUGAAUCUGGAACAAAGACCAUAUAGAGUCUUUACUAUACCACAGCCCUCUCCUGUACUGUCUUAUUUAAGGUUUACAGACAUUCUAUGAAAUAGGUAUUUUUUAUUGCUACUUUUUAACACGAGAAAACUAAAGAUCAGAAAUGCCCCAGGUCACACUGCAAGAACACAGCAGAGCAAAGAUUUGAUCCCGGCUUGGUCUGCUUAAAUGGCCAUGCUUUCCCUGACACCUUAAAGAAUACCAAAUAGACAAUGAUUCUGCACUGACAGAUCAGCAUGCUUAUAACUGCUUGUUUGACAUCUGUUUUUCCCUGGUAGUUUGUAAAAUGUAAAGAAAGAAUAUCCGUUGCCUUUUCUGACAGUCACUCCCCGUACUCCAGCAUCUAUUAUAUAUUAUUUUCUAUUAGCUGUUACAUAAAUACUUAUAAAAUGAACAAGUUAAUCUGAACAAAGCAAUAUUUAUUGGUCCUGGAGUGGAUGAAAUAGGCUAGGGACUGGCUACAAGAGCAGUGACUCCCAAAUACACAGCAUUUUGAGUUGUAGUGAAUGUGUGAAUGAGAUGAGUAACUAUGACAUCCAAGCUAGGUGAAGUCAGUUGUAGGUAUGGACGUGGAGGACUCCGUGGCAGGGAAAACGUGUGUGGUUCAAAGCACUGGAGGUCAUGCAGAGAUUUCAUGCUAUGAAAAGCAUGUUGCACCUGUGUGAGUGUCAUUAGGUUGAUAACACCCUCCUCUCUUGUCUGCCUCCCUUACAAUUAUGAGGUCUGGAAAAGUAAGGGGUGGAAGUGAUUACCUAGCAGUGUUCACUGCUGCCAAAAUUAGUUAGCUUUAUUAUGAGCUCUUGUCCUGGUUUCAUAAAGAGACUUUGGGCAUCAUGGGAGUUACUGCUGCUUCCCUUGGGAGUUAUGGACACUCUCAUGGGCAUCUGCAUCUGAGCAUUCUAUCUCUGUGACAAUCAUUGAUAAUAACUUUUGCCCAACAAGUUGGCUUUUCUGGAUGUGUUAAUGAUGUAAUCAUGACAAUUACUAAAAUUAUGAAUGUUUUGCAUGAAUUAUUUCAUUUAAUCCUCACAAUAACAGAAUGAGACAGAAACAAUUUUGACUGUUUUUUACAAAUGAGGAAAUGAGAUUUGGGAAGGUUAAAUCAUUUGCCGAAGUCAUUUGUUUCGUGAUGAGUAGUCUGAAAAUUUUAACCCAAAUCCCAUCAACAUACUGUAAGAUGUUACAGUAAAAAUGUUAUUAGAUCAUUCCGAGAAGGAUCUAAUGUAACUAUUAAAAGAGUUCUUUAUUUUCAUGAUGCCUAAUGCUUUCCUGGGUGCAAGAUUGUUUUUGCUUUUUGAUUCUGUCCCUUUGAAAAUCAGAUUUUAACUUCUAGCCUGUUAGUUCCUUUGUGGGGAAAAAAAGGAUUACUACUCUUUUCCAAAAUACCAAAAAAUGUCAGCCAACUGCCUGAGUUUAAUCAGAUGUUUAAUCUGACAUAACAGCUGCAUAGUGACACCACAAAGAAUAAAUAAAAAGAUAAGGACUGUGUCAUAGAUACUGAAUCUUCUAUGGUCAGGGCCUGCUGACUUGCAUAUAAAACUGUUUAUUUAAUUAACCCUAUUACAAACAAUGCAACAAAACUUUAUUCUAGUUUUAUCUUUCAGAAUGUUGAAAUAGUCAUGGCCCAUAGAAUCACUGUUUUGGGUAAGAUAUUUUUAAUGUAAUUCUUUCUCCAUUGCUUUUGAGUACACGAAAAAUUUCCUUAAUCUUUCACUGCAUGAAAAAUACUCUAUCUUAAAAUUCCACGUAUUUCAACUUAAAAAUAACAUCUAUUAUAGGUUUUCCUUAUUUUAUUGAGUAAAUCUAGAUAAGCAUAAAGAAGAAAAUAAAAAUUGUCCAGAAAGAACCACAA